UGGCAGUCAGAGGCGAUGAAGGGCGUGCUAAUCUGCGAUAAGCGCCGGUAAGGUGAUAUGAACCGUUAUAACCGGCGAUACCCGAAUGGGGAAACCCAGUGUGAUUCGUCACACUAUCAUUAACUGAAUCCAUAGGUUAAUGAGGCGAACCGGGGGAACUGAAACAUCUAAGUACCCCGAGGAAAAGAAAUCAACCGAGAUUCCCCCAGUAGCGGCGAGCGAACGGGGAGGAGCCCAGAGCCUGAAUCAGCAUGUGUGUUAGUGGAAGCGUCUGGAAAGGCGCGCGAUACAGGGUGACAGCCCCGUACACAAAAGCGCAUGUGCUGUGAGCUCGAUGAGUAGGGCGGGACACGUGGUAUCCUGUCUGAAUAUGGGGGGACCAUCCUCCAAGGCUAAAUACUCCUGACUGACCGAUAGUGAACCAGUACCGUGAGGGAAAGGCGAAAAGAACCCCGGCGAGGGGAGUGAAAAAGAACCUGAAACCGUGUACGUACAAGCAGUGGGAGCCCCACCACUAAGCCAGUGGUGAACUCCACAUACGCAUCCUUUGCUGAGGAUACGGUUAACGGAGCGAAAGCGACGUUCAACCUCAAAAGAAGCAGAGGGGGCUUAGUGGUGGGGUGACUGCGUACCUUUUGUAUAAUGGGUCAGCGACUUAUAUUCUGUAGCAAGGUUAACCGCAUAGGGGAGCCGGAGGGAAACCGAGUCUUAAU
rnacentral:rRNA from 1 species